AACGAACGCUGGCGGCAGGCCUAACACAUGCAAGUCGAGCGAAGCCUUCGGGCUUAGCGGCGGACGGGUGAGUAACGCGUGGGAACGUGCCCUUUGGUACGGAAUAGCCCCGGGAAACUGGGAGUAAUACCGUAUGUGGUCGAGAGACGAAAGAUUUAUCGCCAAAGGAUCGGCCCGCGUUGGAUUAGGUAGUUGGUGGGGUAAUGGCCUACCAAACCGACGAUCCAUAGCUGGUUUGAGAGGAUGAUCAGCCACACUGGGACUGGGACACGGCCCAGACUCCUCCGGGAGGCAGCAGAGGGGAAUCUUAGACAAUGGGGGAAACCCUGAUCUAGCCAUGCGGCGUGAUCGAUGAAGGCCUUAGGGUUGUAAAGAUCUUUCAGUGGGGAAGAUAAUGACUGUACCCACAGAAGAAGCCCCGGCUAACUCCGUGCCAGCCGCCGCCGUAACAC
rnacentral:rRNA from 1 species